UACGUAGGGGGCAAGCGUUGUCCGGAUUUAUUGGGCGUAAAGAGCGUGUAGGCGGCUAUACAGGUCCGCUGUGAAAACUCGAGGCUCAACCUCGAGACGUCGGUGGAAACCGUAUGGCUAGAGUCCGGAAGAGGAAAGUGGAAUUCCGCGUGUAGUGGUGAAAUGCGUAGAGAUGCGGAGGAACACCAGUGGCGAAAGCGACUUUCUGGUCCUUAACUGACGCUGAGGCGCGAAAGCAUGGGGAGCGAACGGG
rnacentral:rRNA from 1 species